CCUACGGGAGGCAGCAGUGGGGAAUAUUGCACAAUGGGGGAAACCCUGAUGCAGCGACGCCGCGUGAGUGAAGAAGUCUUUCGGUACGUAAAGCUCUCUCAGCAGGGAAGAAAAUGACGGUACCUGACUAAGAAGCCCCGGCUAACUACGUGCCAGCAGCCGCGGUAAUACGUAGGGGGCAAGCGUUGUCCCGAUUUACUGGGUGUAAAGGGAUCGUAGACGGCAGCAGAAGUCUCGAGGGAAAACCCAUGGCUUAACCAGGGAACUGCUUUGGAAACUGUGCACCUAGAGUGAAGGAGAGGUAAGCCGAAUGCCUAGUGUAGCGGUGAAAGGCGUAGAUAUUAGGAGGAACACCAGGGGCGAAGGCGGCUUACUGGACUGUAACUGACGUUGAGGCUCGAAAGCGUGGGGAGCAAACAGGAUUAGAUAUCCGAGUAGUC
rnacentral:rRNA from 1 species